rnacentral:rRNA from 1 species
GACGUAGGGGACGAGCGUUGUCCGGAUUCAUUGGGCGUAAAGCGCGCGUAGGCGGUUUGGUAAGUCGGAUGUGAAAACCAGAGGCUCAACCUCUGGCCUGCAUCCGAUACUGCCCGACUAGAGGUAGGUAGGGGAGAUCGGAAUUCCUGGUGUAGCGGUGAAAUGCGUAGAUAUUGGGAGGAACACCAGUGGCGAAGGCGGCUCACUGGACCGGUACUGACGCUGAUGCGCGAAAGCGUGGGGAGCAAACGGG